UACGUAGGUGGCAAGCGUUAUCCGGAUUUAUUGGGCGUAAAGGGAACGCAGGCGGUCUUUUAAGUCUGAUGUGAAAGCCUUCGGCUUAACCGGAGUAGUGCAUUGGAAACUGGGAGACUUGAGUGCAGAAGAGGAGGGUGGAACUCCAUGUGUAGCGGUGAAAUGCGUAGAUAUAUGGAAGAACACCAGUGGCGAAAGUGGCUCUCUGGUCUGUAACUGACGCUGAGGUUCGAAAGCGUGGGUAGCAAACAGG
rnacentral:rRNA from 1 species